AGAGUUUGAUCCUGGCUCAGAAUCAACGCUGGCGGCGUGCCUAACACAUGCAAGUCGAACGAGAAAGUGGAGCAAUCCAUGAGUAAAGUGGCGCACGGGUGAGUAACACGUGACUAACCUACCCUUGAGUGGGGAAUAACCUAGGGAAACCUGGGCUAAUACCGCAUAACACCUACGGGUCAAAGGAGCAAUUCGCUUAAGGAGGGGGUCGCGGCAGAUUAGCUAGUUGGCGGGGUAAUGGCCCACCAAGGCAGUGAUCUGUAUCCGGCCUGAGAGGGCGCACGGACACACUGGAACUGAAACACGGUCCAGACUCCUACGGGAGGCAGCAGUGGGGAAUUUUGCGCAAUGGGGGAAACCCUGACGCAGCAACGCCGCGUGGAGGAUGAAGUCCCUUGGGACGUAAACUCCUUUCGACCGGGAAGAUUAUGACGGUACCGGAAGAAGAAGCCCCGGCUAACUUCGUGCCAGCAGCCGCGGUAAUACGAGGGGGGCAAGCGUUGUUCGGAAUUAUUGGGCGUAAAGGGUGCGUAGGCGGUUCGGUAAGUCUCGUGUGAAAUCUUCGGGCUCAACUCGAAGUCUGCACGAGAAACUGCCGGGCUUGAGUGUGGGAGAGGUGAGUGGAAUUUCCGGUGUAGCGGUGAAAUGCGUAGAUAUCGGAAGGAACACCUGUGGCGAAGCGGCUCACUGGACCACAACUGACGCUGAGGCACGAAAGCUAGGGGAGCAAACAGAUUAGAUACCCUGGUAGUCCUAGCCCUAAACGAUGAUCGCUUGGUGUGACGGGUACCCAAUCCGCCGUGCCGAAGCUAACGCGUUAGCGAUCCGCCUGGGGAGUACGGUCGCAAGGCUGAUACUCAAAGGAAUUGACGAGGGCCCGCA
rnacentral:rRNA from 1 species